rnacentral:pre_miRNA from 1 species
CCGGGAUCUUUAGUCCCGAUUAAUAACACCAACCGCGACUAAAGAUACGAUCUUUAGUCGCGGUUGGUGUUAUUAAUCGGGACUAAAGAUCCCGG